CCAUAUUUAUUUUAAAUAGCAGUUUUAUAUGAAUUUUUUUUAAUUAUAUCAUAAUAACGGUAUUCUUUGAAAAACCACCAUUACGAUUAAUAAAAGUUAGUAAAAAACAAUUGUUAACAUAAAGAUAACAAUGAUAAUUGUUAACAUAAAAGUUCUUGAGCAAAUGUAUAUCUCAUCCGAAUUAUCUUUUUAUGAUAUGUAACGUAUUAGCGAUUUGCUUAUAUUAAAGCUAUCGCGAGAGAUAGUUAAAUUCAGUUAAGAGAUCACGAUUUACCACUUGUCAAUAUAAGGAAGCCUUCAAUUGGAUGAAAACAUUUUAUCAUCAAGAUUUAAGCGAUGAAAAAACAUGUACGAAUGAAUAAUUACUCAGAAGAGAAUGUGUAGUUAGAUUACAUAUAAUCACGCGUAUUUGUCUUGCACUUCCCAAUAACGCGAUUUUUCCAAACAGUUAUAAAUCCGCAAUCGAAACAAACAUAGUGAUGCGUAAAACUAGUCAAGUAGAAUCCUUUAGCAUUCUAUUAAUGAAACCAAAUUUGCGUAUAGAAUUAUAAAUAUUAUACUUGUACAAAAUAGUUUAGGAUUUAUUUUGUGCAAUGAUCGAAAUAACGUUAAAGAUACGAUAUGAUAGAUAGCUUUAAGUUGACGUCGCGGAAGUCGUUUCGCGGUAUGAAAAUAGGUGUGCAGUAUGCGCGAGUAAAAACUACGUAACGAAACUAUCGUAGAACAAAAUGAGAAAUGGAGUGAUGCGAGUCUAUACGAGUGCUUAUUAAUUGUAUACGUAUAAACGCGAAUGCAAUACGUAUGUUAUUAUAUUUGUCCGUGCGCUCGUGUUUUGAAAUUUAAAACAAAUUUAUCCGAAAUUUUUUGUGAAAAUGUACGUAACAAUAGGAAUGGGCCAGCAAUGAAUACUUUGUAAAUCGGUAAUGAAUUUGUAAUCAAAGAUCAAGUGUACGUUUGAAUGUAAACAAACACGCAUAAUACAGCUGGAUGUAUCUCUAAUCUAGUAUAUUUGGAUGUAUCUUCAAUCUAUAGUGAAAAAAUAUCAAAAUGCUAUCUUUGAUUAGAUAUCUAAAUAAUCGUAAAUUUUUGAGUCUUAUUUGUAUUCCUAUUGCUGCUGUUGGAUACUAUAUAGAAGGACUUCUAUCUGAUCGUUAUACACCUCCAACUGCACCAAUAAUGGAGCAACGUGAAGAAAGAUUAUUAGCCAAUAUGAAUUCUAUGCCU